UCAUCAGAUCUCUUUGUUCUCUCAGAAUCCUGGCUGCAGCAAGAGGACUAUGUUAGCUUAAAACAGUCGACUACUUCAAAUUAUUUAAAUCAUCAUAUUGCUCGAAGUACAGGGCGAGGAGGAGGAGUAGCAACCAUUUUUCAUUCAGACUUAUUAAUCUGUCCCUUACCAAUUAAUAGCUACAGUUCGUUUGAACAUCUUAUUCUUAGUUUUCCUAAUCCAGAUAGCAAAACUGUAAAACCACUCUUGUUUGUAGUUUUAUAUCGUCCACCAGGCCCUUACUCAGAGUUUUUGGAUCAGAUCUCUGAUUUUUUAUCUGAUUUGGUGCUAAAUACUGAUAAGGUCAUUGUAGUGGGGGAUUUUAAUAUUCAUGUGGACAUUGAAAAUGAUAGCCUCAAUGUAGCCUUUAGUAAUAUCUUAGACUCAAUUGGUUUUACUCAAAGAAUACAUAGCUCCACCCACUCCUGCCAUCAUACAUUGGACCUUGUGCUGACUUAUGGCAUAGAGUGUGAGGAAAUAACGAUCUUUCCACAUAAUCCAGUCCUCUCGGACCACUUUCUGAUAACCUUUGAGUUUUUUAUAACUGAGUUCUCGAGACAUGAAAGUAAAUUUCACUAUAGUCGGUCUCUAUCUGACAACGCAGUUGCAUCUUUUAAAUCAACUGUUCCAUCUUUACUGUCCUCAGCAUCUCAGAGGCAUGUAGCAGAGGGCAAUAUUUUCAGUUCUAGCCCCUCACAAAUUGAUGCCUUAGUUCAUCAUGUUAAUUCCUCUUUACGUGUGGCAUUAGAUGAUGUUGCCCCUUUAAAAAAGAAGGUAAUUAGGGACAGGAAGUUGGCUCCCUGGUUUAAUUCUCAUUUACGAGCCUUAAAACAAAACUCUAGGAAAUUGGAGAGAACAUGGCGCUCUACGCACCAUGAGGAGGCCUACCUAUCCUGGAAAAAUAGUCUUGUGCUUUAUAAAAAUAAGCUUCGACAAACUAGAACUGCUUAUUUCUCAGCAUUAAUUGAGGAGAAUAAGCAUAAU
rnacentral:lncRNA from 1 species